AGGAUUUAUGGUAGUUUAAAUAGAAUAAUAAUUUGUGGUAUUAUUGGUGAAAUUUUUCUCUAAA
rnacentral:tRNA from 1 species